rnacentral:rRNA from 1 species
AGAAUCAACGCUGGCGGCGUGCCUAACACAUGCAAGUCGAACGAGAAAGUGGAGCAAUCCAUGAGUAAAGUGGCGACCGGGUGAGUAACACGUGACUAACCUACCUUCGAGUGGGGGAUAACCUCGGGAAACCGAGGCUAAUACCGCAUAACAUCGCAAGAUCAAAGCAGCAAUGCGCUGGAAGAGGGGGUCGCGGCUGAUUAGCUAGUUGGCGGGGUAACGGCCCACCAAGGCGAAGAUCGGUAGCCGGCCUGAGAGGGCGCACGGCCACACUGGAACUGAAACACGGUCCAGACUCCUACGGGAGGCAGCAGUGGGGAAUUUUGCGCAAUGGGGGAAACCCUGACGCAGCAACGCCGCGUGGAGGAUGAAGCCCUUGGGGCGUAAACUCCUUUCGACCAAGACGAUAAUGACGGUACUGGUGGAAGAAGCACCGGCUAACUCUGUGCCAGCAGCCGC